UAGGGAAUAUUGCAAAAUGGGCGAAAGCCCGAUGCAGCAACGCCGCGUGGGCGAUGAAGGCCUUCGGGUCGUAAAGCCCUUUUUGAGGGGAUGAGGAAGGACAGUACCCUCAGAAUAAGCCUCGGCUAACUACGUGCCAGCAGCCGCGGUAAAACGUAGGAGGCGAGCGUUAUCCGGAUUUACUGGGCGUAAAGCGCGUGCAGGCGGAUUGGAGAGUUGGAUGUGAAAGCUCCCGGCUUAACUGGGAGAGGUCGUUCAAUACUUCCAGUCUUGAGUGCAGUAGAGGGAAGUGGAAUUCCGGGUGUAGUGGUGAAAUGCGUAGAGAUGUGGAAGAACACCGAUGGCGAAGGCAGCUCCCUGGGUUGACACUGACGCUCAUGCACGAAAGCGUGGGGAGCAAACA
rnacentral:rRNA from 1 species